rnacentral:snoRNA from 13 species
CUUCCCAUUUGACUACCACUUUUUUGAAUCACAGAUUGAGUGGUUAUGCUUAUGGGAUAGACAAAAAGCUGCCAUGGUCUGAAGGAGAAGAUGUUUGAUAUCUUUUUCCCUAUAUGAAAUGGCAGAACAAAACCAG